AUUGAACGCUAGCGGCAUGCUUUACACAUGCAAGUCGAACGGAGUGGCGGACGGGUAAGUAAUAUAUCGGCACGUGCCCAGUAGCGGGGGAUACCUACUCGAAAGAGUUGCUAAUACCGCAUACUAUUGGCGCGGCCGCUAUCGGCUUAGCUAGUUGGUGGGGUAAAGGCUCACCAAGGCAACGAUCCGUAGCUGGUUGGAGAGGACGACCAGCCACCCUGGGAGUGUGACAGCGCCCAGGCGCCUACGAGAGGAAGCAGUGGGGAAUUUUGGGCAGCGGGGGAAACCCUGAUCCAGCCAUCCCGCGUGUAUGAUGGAGGCCUUGGGGUUGUAAAGUACUUUUUGGAGAGAAGCGGUAUCUGCAGUAUAAGCACCGGCUAACUACGUGCCAGCAGCCGCGGUAAUUC
rnacentral:rRNA from 1 species